CUCUACCUUUCUGGGCGAAAAAAAUACAUUUCAAAAGGAAUAAAUGGCAACCUGCCUUGGAAUGAUUCUGUUACGCCGCAUAUUUCAUAAUUAAAAGCUCUACCGCGGUUUCCUCUGCCGCCCUGCCCGAUUUGAUAUCCAAAUCCGCUUGCAAGCAGUCUCUGACUGCCUGUUUCCAGCCUGCCACAGGGAAGCGUUUUGACUGCCGCUGAUAUUCCUUCACCGCAAAUUCGCGCAGCUCCAGCCUUGCCGCAAUCUGCUCCUGUGUUAGCCCGUUCUGCGUCAGCAGCAUUGUUUCCAGAAUCAGGCGAAAUUGUCUGGUAAUCAGCGAAAGCACCAUAUACGGGGAUUCCUUCAUGGAAAGCAGUGUGCGAUAAAUCUGAACCGCCCUUUCGGGAUGCUUUUCCGCCACCGCCUUCACAAGGUCAAACACACGCGCCUCCAGAGAAACCGUACAGACCGCACGAAUAUCCUCCGCGCGGAUUUCUGCUUUCUCUCCCUUAUAGGCAAUCAGCUUUUGCAGCUCGCCAUCCAGAUUUUCCAUAUCAUGAUCCACUGUCUGCAAAAAGAGAUUCAGUACGCCAUCGCUCAUCUGCAUCCCGUUUGCCUUGCAGCGCUGUUUUAUCCAUGUGCCUAAGUCCUUUUCCGCCUGUUUUUUGAACUCAACUGCCUGUCCGUUUUUGACAACCGCCUUAUAAAGCGCAUUGCUUUUUUCUACCUUUUCCUCAAUGAAAAGCAGGCAGACCGUUUCGGGCAGAUUAGAAAGAAAGGCUUUGAGCUUUUCGCCCUCCUCUUUUCUGCCGCCCUUCUGGAAAAAGGCACUGUUUCGCACGAUGACCAGGCGUUUAUCAUUCAGAAACGGCAAGGUUUCCGCCGCAUCCAUGAUUGCCGCCGCAGUUGCCCGUUUUUCCUCGAAGCUGUCCUCAUUCAUCAUUUCCGCGCCAUCGGGCAGAAUUGCCUUGCGCAGUGCCGCUUCAUAUUCCCGAAUGAGGUAGGUUUCUUCGCCGAAAAAGAGAUAGCAUUUCUAACCAGCAGCCGUGAUCCGGCUGGGGGACAAUGUCAGGUGGGGAGUUUGACUGGGGCGGUCGCCUCCGAAAGGGUAUCGGAGGCGCUCAAAGGUUCCCUCAGAAUGGUUGGAAACCAUUCGAAGAGUGCAAAGGCAGAAGGGAGCUUGACUGCGACACCGACGGGUGGAGCAGGUACGAAAGUAGGACUUAGUGAUCCGGUGGUAUAAAGUGGGAUUGCCAUCGCUCAACGGAUAAAAGCUACCCUGGGGAUAACAGGCUUAUCACUCCCAAGAGUUCACAUCGACGGAGUGGUUUGGCACCUCGAUGUCGGCUCAUCGCAUCCUGGGGCUGUAGUAGGUCCCAAGGGUUGGGCUGUUCGCCCAUUAAAGCGGUACGCGAGCUGGGUUCAGAACGUCGUGAGACAGUUCGGUCCCUAUCCGGCGUGGGCGUAGGAUAUUUGAGAGGAGCUGUCCUUAGUACGAGAGGACCGGGAUGGACUGACCUCUGGUGUAUCGGUUGUUCUACCAAGAGCAUGGCCGAGUAGCCAAGUCGGGAAGGGAUAAACGCUGAAGGCAUCUAAGCGUGAAGCCCCCCUCAAGAUGAGAUAUCCCAUAACGCAAGUUAGUAAGACCCCUUGAAGACGACGAGGUAGAUAGGGCAGAGGUGGAAGUGCAGUAAUGCAUGGAGCUGACUGUUACUAAUAGGUCGAGGGCUUAACCA
rnacentral:rRNA from 1 species